rnacentral:lncRNA from 1 species
UAGAAGGGAUGUUUAAACGACUUCAUCCGAGGGAACAACUUUAAUUGUGGUGGAUACUAUGGAGGCAGAGGUGGCCACAGAUGUUGUUACAAGGAUGGCUACAUCAGAAGAGGGCACUAGUCAUGAAAACCCAACUGACCUUACCAUCCUCACUCGUUUCCACCCAAUAAAAGAACAAAGACUUAUUGACCGUAGGAGUGAUGUUUAAAUAGUUUCAGAGUGUAGAGAAAGCCUUCAGAAAGGAUC